CUCCCCGGGCGGGAUUCGAACCUGCGACCAAUCGAUUAACAGUCGACCGCUCUACCGCUGAGCUACCGAGGA
rnacentral:tRNA from 1 species